AUUGAACGCUGGCGGCAUGCCUCACACAUGCAAGUCGAACGGCAGCACGGGAGCAAUCCUGGUGGCGAGUGGCGAACGGGUGAGUAAAGUAUCGGAACGUGCCCAGUCGUGGGGGAUAACGUAGCGAAAGUUACGCUAAUACCGCAUACGAUCUAUGGAUGAAAGCGGGGGAUCGCAAGACCUCGCGCGAUUGGAGCGGCCGAUAUCAGAUUAGGUAGUUGGGGGGGUAAAGGCUCACCAAGCCGACGAUCUGUAGCUGGUCUGAGAGGACGACCAGCCAAACUGGGACUGAGACACGGCCCAGACUCCUACGGGAGGCAGCAGUGGGGAAUUUUGGACAAUGGGCGAAAGCCUGAUCCAGCCAUGCCGCGUGCAGGAUGAAGGCCUUCGGGUUGUAAACUGCUUUUGUACGGAACGAAAAGGUUUGGCCUAAUAAGCUGAGCUCAUGACGGUACCGUAAGAAUAAGCACCGGCUAACUACGUGCCAGCAGCCGCCGUAA
rnacentral:rRNA from 1 species